GCAAAGCUCAGAGAGGGGCAGUCCGAAGCUCGGGGUCACCGUCGGGGAGCACUGGAGCCAGGCUUGGGUCCAAGGCAAUUUGAUGGCAGGGACCACCCGAAGGGGCACGGUCCCCCACAUACAGACGGUGAAGUUGGAGGCCCGAGUCGGGAUGGCACUUUCCUCCACUCGAGUCAGAGUUAUCUGUGGCCACAGACACAAUUGGUACACACCUGCCAUUGUCUUUUGUCAUUUGGUAGAGGCAGAGGGUACGUGCAACCGGGAGUUACAGGACGCAGAGAACAUUUCUCGAAGGAUACAAAUAAUGAGGCCCCAUGCUGGAGUUCCUGAUGGAAAGUCCCAACAAAUCAGGGAAGGCGUCUGGCAUCCAAUUUCUAUCCAAGCCUUUGAUCCCUGCUGCUGAACCUUCCACAACUCAGGCCUGAGACAGGGGACCCUCCAGGUGGCCUGGAGACCACCAGCCCUCUCCUCAGACAGGUGAGCGGCCGAAGCACCCUUUCCCCUCCGGGAAGCCUCUGCUGCACUCACUUUUCCAUAUUGCCCUCUGCCUGGACCCGGCUUCCUCCUCCCUGUAUUCUGGUGAAAAUAAAUUCAAUCGGAAACCGCGAA